GAUAUGAUUUUCAAUUUCUUCAUUUGUAGAAACAUGUUUUUCGCUUCUUUCUCUUCUUUCCCUUCGACGAGCUUCUUUCCCUUCGACGAGCUUCUUCCUUCACCACCGUCGCCGACAACUCACCGCCGAUAACAUUCAUCUCAUCCUUUGAAAUGUCUGAUUUUUCUUUCAUUUGCAGAAACCACUAUUUCUCUUCUUUCCCUUCGACGAAACCACUGUUGCAGAAACCCUAAUUUUUGGAGUUGAUAAUUCUCUUAUUUCAUUAUUUCUCAUCGGAAGGUGAAUUUUAAAGAAAACCUAGCAAAUCCAACAUGAACGCAUCAUCACGUGUUUCACUACAAGCUCCUAAGCGUUUACCAAUUGAUGAAAAAUGGAGAAAGAUGGAAUUCAAAGCAGAAGAACUUUACUAUGCCUUGAAGAAGAUAAGACAUGCUGGAAAGUUUUAAUUGAAAGCUACUCUUUUAUCGGAUUUUGUUUUCUUUCAUGAUGUAGUUUGUAGUAAAAUUUGUUUCAUGAAUUCUAAAUGUGGUCUACAGUUUUCACCACAGUAGGUAUGAAUAGUAAUUUGAAUAUGUUAAUGACUAAUUUUGCAAUAUAACUUGCAUGUUCUUGUCUGUUCAACUUGAUGUUUAUGGACUUUAGAACUAAAUAUUGUACUACCUUAUGAAUUGUCUUUGUCUUAGUCAUAGUUCAUUCAUAAAAACUUAGAAGGCAUACAAGCCAAUGUUAAGUUAUAUUGCUGCAAGUAAAAUGACUCAAAUGGGGUUGAUUUGUAAGAACAUGUUGUAGGAAUCAAUUUUUGGUUUAUUUGAAAUUGAAUUUUACAUGCCUAAUUGUUUCUUCUUCAUUAAGGGCACAUAUGACAGUAGCUUCUUCAUUCAUCACAUUUAACCUUGUUCUUAAUUGUAGCAUCUUUCACAAAUAGGGAGGAUUUUGAAGCUGAAUUUUAUGAGGGGAAGGACAAAAUCUAUUUUUCUACUUGUUGGUAUCAAAGAUAUGCUCCCCAUAUUGGGGAAACUGUAGUAAUCAAAGAUGAAAAAGGGAACAAGUUUAUUGCUUUUGUAAAGAAAGGCAACAAACCACACCUAGUGUUUAACCAAACAAAACUUAGAUUUAUGUACCAGCUAACACUUUUUGGUAUAAUUAUUCUAAAGUUAGUUGAUGAUUCCAAGUUUGAGAUGAAAGUAUUAGGACAUUACCUAGGAAAAAUAGAUACAAACGAUCCAGCUAAAUAUGAUGGUCAUUGGGGUUAUGAUCCAAUGUGGGUUUUGGAAAUUUCUGAAGAGAUGUCAACAGAAGGGAAACUUUUGAUGAUACCUGACGAUGUGGUAGAUAUCAUUUACCACGGCUCAGUAGACUAUGAGCUUGAGGUUUCCGUGUCUGAGACAAAUGAAUGUUAUACUUGGGAAGUGCAACAUAUGGGUAAUCAAUUUUUAAUAGCUGGUGGAUGGGUUGAUUUUUUAAAGAACCAAAUCAAAAAAGGAAUUAAGAAAAUAUUUUUCUACAACGACGGUGCAAAAUCCACCGUUGUAUUGAAGGUGUCUCCUUGAAGAUGUGAUUUUGACAUUUGCUGGUGGCUGCUGGAGUUGGAGACGAAGCUGAUAUAGUUAGGAUGUGGGGGAUUUCUAUUUGGGAGUUAUUAUUUCCUUUGUUUUGUAAUUAAGCUAGUUGGAACUUGAAUGGUGUUGCUAUGUUAUUUACUGGUGCUUAGAAUUUCCUUUGGUUAGUAAUUAGGUUAAUUAGCUGUUUGUGCUGUAGAAUCUAUUUUUCAUCUUUUAUGUUUCUGCUAUGUAGUAGCUGGAUGGUACUGAUUGUGUUAGUGUACUAUAUUGCACAGUGUACUAUAUUCAAGUUGUGCUAAUCUAAUGGUUAUGCCUUGUUCCAAGUUUGAGUCAA